GGCUGAAAGGCAGUGGCUGGCCCAAGGUGACCCAGUGAGCUUUGUGGCCAAGUGGGGAUUUAAAUCUGGGUCUUCCAAGUCAUAGUCCGACAUUCACACUGUGACACCAGUAUCCAGAGGGUCACAGCUUCCUCAUCUCUAAUACUUAAACCCAAGUUAAGCUGAACAUUUUCUAUGGCCUCCUAGAAUGGUGCUUGAUCAAAAAGAGAAAGAAAAUAUUGUGCUACUUAACAGAUAAAAUUGAACAAAGUCCUGAACAUUCGACGUUCCCUAAUUGUUCUAGUCCAUGGCAAAAUCAGGGUUUGCUGGCAUCUUAUAGGCCUGACUUGUUAAUAUUCCACCAGAAGUGAUAAGAUAAGGCAGUGGAAAUGACCCUGAAUUUCCUUUUAAAAAAAAAUCAAUAAGAUUUCCAAAUUGAAUAAACUGUCAUGUCAUUAAAUUAUUAUUAUUCUUUUUGAUGUUUGAUAUUAUGAGUUCAGACUUGAUAAUUUUCAGCUUUUCACACACAAAAAGACAAUUGUUGUUUUUUGUGGGUAGAUGAUCUUAUUGCUAUCUUUUUUAAAAAAAAAAUACAAUGCUAGCACUUCUCUUUUAGAAAUAAAACAAGAGCUUACAAUUCCCAAUUUAGGGAAGCACAGAUGACGUAUAAGAUGCUAAAAUUAUGCAUCCUGCCUAUUGUAAAGCCUGUCAUAUUUCAACAAAACCCCAAUAAGCUACUUUUGUGUUCUCUGAAACUUUUGAUUAAACUUCCAUGAGGUUUGGGAGGCGGUUGGGUGUCGGUGCUGAGCUGUGGUUUGUUUUAACCAUAGUUUGCUGUAGAAGCUACAAUCAGUUUUGCAGAACAUGGGAAGCUGCCUUAACACCAAGUGAGACUAUUGGUCCAUCUAGCUCACUAUUGUCUACACCAGAGGUUUUCAACCGUUUUGGUUCCACGGCUGCCGUGACCAACUACAUUCUUUCUGAAGCACCCCUGUGGGACUCGGGAGCCCAGUUAUGUCACCCCUUGCCUGCAGAGCUAGCAGCCCCUCACCCCUUUUUGAACACCCUCCCUCGUGGAGUGUUCCCUCGGCCUCCUCUCUUCUCCCCUCUCCUUGGGAGUCUCUGGGCAGCUUCAGCUGCUUCCCCUGGUCUCUGAGCUGCCCCCCCCCGGCCCCAAAGAGAGAUGCCUCCUCACACUGCCCCACAGGGGCCUGGGAAGCACCAACUGGCCAGCUCCAGAGGCAUUCGCCUGGGGAGCUUGUAGCCAGGGCUGCUGCAACAAACAGCCAUGCAAGUCUUUGGGAGGCAAGGGGGCAUCAGAAGAGGGAGGGAAAGAAAGAGGGACAGAGGUCGGUAUUGCCGCAGCACCCCUGACCAUCAUUCAAGGCACCCCAAGGUGCCACAGCACACUGGUUGAAAACCACUGGUUUACACUAACAAUCACUGACGUUCUCUGGGAUUAUGGCGGGGUGGGAGGCAUCUUUCCCAGACUGUUGGAGUUACUAGAGAUUGAACCUGGGACCUUCUGCAUGCAAAGCAGAUGCUGUACAACUGAGCUACACUCCCAAAGUAACCAUGACUUGUUUCACUUAACAUUGGCUUGGUUUUCUCCUUGCUCUUCCUUUGCUUUAAUUUGCUGGAAGCCUCCCAGAAUGGCUGGGGAAACCCAGCCAGAUGGGUUACGGAUAAUAUGUUGUUGUUGUUGUUGUUGUUGUUGUUGUUGUUGUGGCCAGCUGAGAGUCUGGGUAUUGAGAACCCCCCAGGCUUGGGCAUAACAUGAGAAACCAUGGUUCAUGCAAACAGAGAUCCAUAAGCCAACUUCAAACCAUUUUUUUCAUAUUCUGGUUUGUUAACAACAAACUAACCAUAGUUUGUAGACUGUAAAAGCAAACCAUGGCUUAAUGUUAUCUGCAAAUCUUGCCCGUGAGUUGAUCCGGCUCAAUCCUGUCUUCCACCUGGAAAUAGCUCUCUAGGAUCUUGAGUCUUUCCUAGCUCAGCUGUCAGUUGAAUAUCUGUUAACUGAAGAUGGCAGGAUCUGAACUUGAGACCUUCUGCAUUCUACUACUGAGCAAGGGUGUCCAUUCUUAAAUUCUGAGUGAUUUUUCAAACACCAGCCCAUGGUUGCAUUUUUUAAAAAAAAUAUAUGUGUUGGCUGCACAGUUGCAGAAUAAUCAUAACAGAAUACCUGCUUCAUGAUGGGAUAAUUCAGAGCUAAUCAGCCAUGCGAAAGUACCGUUAGUCUCUGUGGGCCUCGUUUCCAUAUCUGUAAAAUGACAAUUGUGACAAUUGGAGCAAUUCUGGUCUCCCAAGAGUGCUGUGACAGGGAACGUGUUAAAAGGCUGUCGCCUCAACUGUGUUUCAGUAUCUCAUUAACAGCGCAGUAAAUCGGCAGUACCGAAAUCAUCGGAUACGUUAGGUUGGCCACUGAAUUGAAAUGAACUAGUUAACAUUCUGUUUCCCCGAGGAAAGAUUUAAGCUCUCCACAAUGCAGCCAUCUCAGCCCUCCUGCAGGAAUGAGAUGUAAGUCAUGGCUCCAGAUCUUUUGCCCAUUUGGGAAUUGCAUCCUUACUGACCAAGAAAUACUGCCUGAUGCAAAAUAUUAGAGGAAAUAUGGGUCACCCGUUGUGUGAUAAUUAGCUGUGGAAGGCUCUAGGAUUGUGAGACUUUUUAAUAGGGCAAACUGUGCCAUUUCCUCCUCCCCUUGGGUUCUCACUAGCAUAGAUGGAAUUUAUAUUUUUCUCCCAUAGGAAGCAGGUAGUACAAUAUGAAAUCUGGAAUUGAACAAAGGGAGCUCAGACAUUGAAGCCAAGCAAGGAGGACUCCAUAUCUGAGCAAUGAGAGAACAAGUGGCAAAGGCCAUAGCUUAGUGGUAGAGCAUCUGUUUACAUGCAGGAGGUCCCAGGUUUGAUCCCCAACAUUUCCAGGAACAGCUGGGAACGUCCUCUACUAGAAUGUCCUCUACCAGAAACCUUGAAGAAGCUGCUGCCAGUCUGCAUUUGGUGGGGUGUCCUCCUGCUCAUUAUGCUCCGUGGAGCUCUGGACUACUUCCCCAAAGUCUCCCCCAUAGUACCACUGAUGAGGAGGAAUGAAUGAGAGCCAAACUACCUGUGACACUGCAUACAUCUUUGCUUGGAGUGGCUGCUGUCCAUUGGGACUAGUAGGGUGGCAGGCAGGCAGGGAGAAGUAUGCCGAUGACAACAUAGUGUGCACACACUCAAAGGAUGACCUCCAAACCACCCUACUGUAAAUAUCUUCACAGAAGCUUACGGAAAGCUUGGCCUGUUGCUCAACAUCCAAAAAACCAAAGUGCUGACCAACAAGCACAAAACAACCCCUUUGCAGCGCCACAAAUCCAACUCAAUGGUGUAACGUUGGAAAGUGUCAACCACUUCUCCUACCUGGACAGUUAUCUUUCCACAAGGACCGACAUUGAUGCCAAAAUCCAGCAUUGCCUGAGCUCUGCAAGUGCAGCGUGUUUGAGGACUGGGAUAUUCACAGGUGAACCAAAAUGCUUGUUUACAAAGCUAUUGUACUACCAACCUUGAACUUAAAAACGGAAAGCGUAAUGCUGGUAGACAAAAAAAAAAAAUGGUUUAAAGACACUCUCAAUGCAAAUCUUAAAAAAUGUAGUAUAAACACCGACAACUGGAAAACAUUGGCCUGCGAGCACUCCAGUUGGAGAACAGCCUUUACCAAAGGUGUCAUGGGCUUUGAAGAUGCUCAGAGUCGGGACGAAAGGGAGAAACGUGCUAAGAGGAAGGCAUGCUUGGCAAACCCUUGCCGUGAUCAACUCCCGCCCAGAAAACUAUGUCCCCACUGUGGAAGGACAUGUGGAUCCAGAACUGGCCUCCACAGCCACUUACAUACUCCGUGUUCAUGGAAGACAAUCUUACUUGGCUA